UUCCAGACUCCUACGGGAGGCAGCAGUGAGGGAUAUUGGGCAAUGGGGGAAACCCUGACCCAGCGACGCCGCGUGAGGGAAGACGGUCUUCGGAUUGUAAACCCCUGUCUUUGGGGACGAAAAAGGACGGUACCCAAGGAGGAAGCUCCGGCUAACUACGUGCCAGCAGCCGCGGUAAUACGUAGGGAGCGAGCGUUGUCCGGAAUUACUGGGUGUAAAGGGAGCGUAGGCGGGAUUGCAAGUUGGAUGUGAAAACUGCGGGCUCAACCCGGAGCGUGCAUUCAAAACUGCGAUUCUUGAGUGAAGUAGAGGCAAGCGGAAUUCCUAGUGUAGCGGUGAAAUGCGUAGAUAUUAGGAGGAACACCAGUGGCGAAGGCGGCCUGCUGGGCUUUAACUGACGCUGAGGCUCGAAAGCGUGGGUAGCAAACAGGAUUAGAUACCCUAGUAGC
rnacentral:rRNA from 1 species